GGGGGCGACAGGUUUCGACGGCGUGUUGGAGGGUCUGGAGGAGCAGGCCGAGUUACGUCCGUAAUCCUCGUUAAACAUUCGGGCAAGACGAUAAACGUCGACAAUAGCUACGCUUUAGCGGCUUAAGCCCGCUACGUCGAUGGAUGGGCUGGUCUACCGGCCCGCCGGAGGCGUUACUUCAGGUAGAUGCUCCGCUCGUUGUCCGGUUCUGCGCGAGUGGAAAAGACAAGGGACCUUGGAAUGCGAAGGGUCGUUCUCUGCCGAUUCGCAGACGACAAUUAAACGGGAACUAAGCCUGUAGCGCCGCCACGGCUGGCCCACGUCGGACGGGGGUUCGAUUCCCCCCGCCUCCACCA
rnacentral:tmRNA from 1 species